CCUACGGGCGGCAGCAGUGAGGAAUAUUGGUCAAUGGGCGCGAGCCUGACCCAGCCAAGUAGCGUGAAGGAUGACUGCCCUACGGGUUGUACACUUCUUUUAUAAAGGCAUAAAGUGAGGCACGUGUGCCUUUUUGUCUGUACUUUAUGAAUACGGAUCGGCUAACUCCGUGCCAGCAGCCGCGGGAAUACGGAGGAUCCGAUCGUUAUCCGGAUGUCUUGGGUUUAAAGGGAGCGUAGAUGGGUUGUUAAGUCAGUUGUGAAAGUUUGCGGCUCAACCGUAAAAUUGCAAUUGAUACUGGCAGCCUUGAGUACAGUUGAGGUAGGCGGAAUUCGUGGUGUAGCGGUGAAAUGCUUAGAUAUCACGAAGAACUCCGAUUGCGAAGGCAGCCUACUAAACUGCCACUGACAUUGAUGCUCGAAAGUGUGGGUAUCAAACAGGAUUAGAUACCCCUGUAGUC
rnacentral:rRNA from 1 species